UCCCUUGUAACUCUGUCGGUAAAGACUCUGCCUGCAAUGCAGGAGACCCAGGUUCGAUUCCUGGGUGGGGAC
rnacentral:tRNA from 1 species